AUGUUUGAGCGGCGGUUACUCAAUAUGCUAAUUUCUUUUCGUGAAAUGGAUAGAGAAAGUAUAAUGAAAAGGCUCAUACAAGCAAGACAGUCAGUAGCACAAGACAAGCAUCCCAGAAACCUUCUGCCACGAUCCACUCAGGACGAUCACAGUUGCCGGUUCAAGGUGUCACCCAACAACGUGCUGCCCUUUGCCUUCCCAUCCUACAGCCCUCCUCAGGGUGACAAGGAGCUGGCUCCUGACGGCCUUGGACUAGUCCCAAUCAAGCCUUCCGAUGUUCAAAUCAAGCACAGCUAUUCCUUCUUCAACUUGCAGGUUCCUCAACUGUACAAAAUUAAGGGAUAUCAGCCAUUCUCAGUCCACACGUCUUCAACAAGUUACAAGCCCCAAAAGCUCGCUCGACCCCUGAAGCAAGGAGCUGAGGAUGAAGUCACCACCAUCGUUAUCCUUCCAAAAGAGGACUCCACACCUCAGGUCACUGGAAAGUCCUCAAUCUUGACUAUGAAACCACCUGAGGCCUUAUCCAUGUCCCCAGAAUAUGAUCCGCUCUAUAUUUUUAAUCCCAACCCAGGAUUAUUUGCCGUCAAGCGCCCUCUGACCUAUGCAGAGACGCUGAUAGAUUACCACCUCUGCCCCCACCCCAAGUACAUGUUCACCAACGAGUGCCACAAGGGGUCCAGCAUUCCUCUCACCCAAAAGCAGUUUCUCCAUCACACGGACAUUAUUCCCGGAAUCAUGCACUGGAAGAGGUUCCAGUCCCUGACGCUCUCAUCCUUGCCAGAAACCUCUAAGAUGGAGACCACCCAGAGCUAUGACUCCUACAAUCCGGUUAUACUUCCUAUCAACACUCCUGCUCCUCUUGAGGACUUACCGGAAGAAGACAGACUGGAAACUAUUGAACGCAAACUCUUUGAACAUAAUAUAGAAGUUACAUUGACUCCAAGAAUGAUUGAAGCGGAAUUCCCUCUGUUGGACAUUAAGGAUGCAAAGAAGGAAAAAGAGGUGAAAGACCAGGCACAAGCAGCAGAGAAGGCAGGAGAAAAGGUCCUUGAGGAGAUGAAGAAUCUGCAGGCCAAAGCUCUCAACGCAUACCUGAUUCUAGAAUAAAAAUCACCAGGAGGUCAGUUCCUCUUGUUUGCUCUCUGCAGAUCACUGUGGUCCUUUGUGUCCACUUAUGGUCUGACCAUUUGGGGAAGUUCCUACAGAGAAAAAAAAAUUGACAUGUAGAUGUACAUAUGUUUAAAUUAUAAUUUUUCUUUCUAAAAAUAAAAUGUU
rnacentral:lncRNA from 1 species